GUCCCUCACUUUCACCCAUUCAUGUGUCAGAUAAUAGUCUUCCGGCAUAACCAGGCAUUUCAUGUGUCACGAAUGAUUUCAAUGCUCAGAUAACAGUCUUUCGGCAUAACCGGGCAUUUCAUGUGUCACGAAUGAUUUCAAUGUCUUCCGGUAUAACCAGGCAUCGCCUCGCACCGUCGAGCGCGGCAUCGUCUACAUCUAGACGGCAUUCCAUAUAGGAGCAUCGCUUCAGCCUCUACUGCAAACGGCAUCCGUUGACGUGGGGCAUUCCCAAAGGAGCAUCGCCCGGCCCCAAAGGCUCGUGGUGGAAU
rnacentral:lncRNA from 1 species